rnacentral:rRNA from 1 species
AGAGCUUGCUCUCUGUUUGGCGAGUGGCGGACGGCCUGAGGAAUACAUCGGAAUCUACCUUUUCGUGGGGGAUAACGUAGGGAAACUUACGCUAAUACCGCAUACGACCUACGGGUGAAAGUGGGGGACCGCAAGGCCUCACGCGAUUAGAUGAGCCGAUGUCCGAUUAGCUAGUUGGCANGGUAAUGGCCCACCAAGGCGACGAUCGGUAGCUGGUCUGAGAGGAUGAUCAGCCACACUGGAACUGAGACACGGUCCAGACUCCUACGGGAGGCAGCAGUGGGGAAUAUUGGACAAUGGGCGCAAGCCUGAUCCAGCCAUACCGCGUGGGUGAAGAAGGCCUUCGGGUUGUAAAGCCCUUUUGUUGGGAAAGAAAUCCUAUCGGUUAAUAACCGGUGGGGAUGACGGUACCCAAAGAAUAAGCACCGGCUAACUUCGUGCCAGCAGCCGCGGUAAUACGAAGGGUGCAAGCGUUACUCGGAAUUACUGGGCGUAAAGCGUGCGUAGGUGGUGGUUUAAGUCUGCUGUGAAAGCCCUGGGCUCAACCUGGGAAUUGCAGUGGAUACUGGAUCACUAGAGUGUGGUAGAGGGAUGCGGAAUUCCUGGUGUAGCAGUGAAAUGCGUAGAGAUCAGAAGGAACAUCCGUGGCGAAUGCGGCAUCCUGGGCCAACACUGACACUGAGGCACGAAAGCGUGGGGAGCAAACAGGAUUA